rnacentral:rRNA from 1 species
UACGAAGGGGGCUAGCGUUGCUCGGAAUCACUGGGCGUAAAGCGCACGUAGGCGGCUUCUUAAGUCAGGGGUGAAAUCCUGGAGCUCAACUCCAGAACUGCCUUUGAUACUGAGAAGCUUGAGUCCGGGAGAGGUGAGUGGAACUGCGAGUGUAGAGGUGAAAUUCGUAGAUAUUCGCAAGAACACCAGUGGCGAAGGCGGCUCACUGGCCCGGUACUGACGCUGAGGAGCGAAAGCAUGGGGAGCGAACAGG